rnacentral:lncRNA from 1 species
AGUCAAUAUUGCUUCACUAUUUGAAUGGGACAUGGCCAUUCCAUCCGUAUUGAAUUGACAGUUCAUUGGAUGGAACAGAAUUUUUUAGAUGAUUUUGGUAUAAUAAUUCCAAAACAAAAAUUUGAUUACUAAAGCAUAUUGGACAAUUUUUUUAAAGGAACCAAUUGACUUUAAACAUGGGUAUAAUGGUAAAAUCAGGUCAGAAGCGAUCAUGGGCCCCAUUUUUUUUCUUCUGUGAUGACUGUGGGAAGGGAACCCAUUUGCCAAACUACAAAUGGUCAUGGUCCCCCAUUGACUUGUCCAGUCCAGUUGAAAAGUGCUGCAGAACUGACAAAUUUGUUUGUGGUUUAUCCAUUUAAAAAGAUUGGAUCAGAAUAACCCCAGAUCUAUAAUGCCUGUACCUACAAGGAAUUUCCAAACAGUAAUUAUUUAUUAAAAAAAAUUAAUAACCUAGGUAACAGACAAAAUUAAAGAUUACAUUAACUCCACAAACUGCUCCAGAACCCCUAACUUUU